CGGAAGAAGUCAGAUUGAUACCUUUCUACUCUCUGAAGGAAAGAGACACAGCACCCGUAUGAAUACACCACUCAGUGGGAACAUUCAUUUCCAAGCACAGGAGGACUUAAUUUUGGGACUCUCCUGCAAUCAAUUGCAAGUGUACUUUCUUCUCUUCUGUUCUCAGUCACUCAGCACCAGGUACACAGGAUCUAGCAGGUUUAUUGCAGUUGGAGGACCCACCCUCUGUGGAUACCAGCACUCCAUGGCUGAAAUCCUGGACUGUGCAAUAAGAUAAAAUCAAAAGAAAAUUUCUAGACCGAAGAGUCUUUAAGCUGAUGGCAAGCAACCAGCUGGAAUUACUGAAGAGAUGAGCACUACUGAAAAGAGACUGCCUACACUGAACUAGGACAGCAGGAAUGGUGUCCUCAGGAUAAAACAGAACCCAGUGGGGGCUCCAUCCUGCGAAGAUCCAAAGUCAUUUAUAAGAAGACAGCUUAAACUGAAGGGGGUUCCCUGUUCCUCAAAAUCAACUACCCAGGAAAAUGUUUUGCCAAAGUCAGCACACAGAAGCUGAUAGAACUGUGCUCUGGUGGGUGAGACGCAAGUACAUCUUGACCUGGCAGUGGAUCUUGGAAGUAUGGCUUACAUGGUACUGGUAUUAGAGGCAUGAAAGAUGGAAGGUUGAAGGGGUCCAGGAAUCUUGCUCUAUGGUUCGAGAGAGAUGAUAUGUCAGGCAGUAUGGGACAAUAUUGGAAUUCCUGCUAAGAGGUUCUGAGAAGUCAUUUCAUGAGGCUAUGGACAUGAAGCCUGUUAAAUGGAGACCAUGGGGGUGCCAGAACUGUGGCUUACCCAUCAAGGAAAGCUUCAGAAAUGGAAUAGAGCCAUCCCAAAGCCAAGAGAGAAUGUGUGUUGCAGACAGCCAAGCUGGAGAGAUGGAGAUACCUAAGGCUUUUGGUGUCCAUUUGAUUAUAUCAAAAAUCCUAGUUGACCAACACGAAGGUGAAAGGAUUUUGUGUUCACCACAAUGGAUAUUGGUUUUGGGCUGGUCCAAUUAUUCUUUGCUAUACCCCAAUUGUUAUAUAUUGGAAUGGGACUGUUUAUUCUGUAUCAUCGUAUGCUGGACUAUGCAACUUUGUUUGUUUGUUUGUUUUAAUUUAUAAACACUCACAGUUAAGAGAUUGUCUGGAGUCUCAGGUACGUUGCAGACUUUGGAUUUUGAAACUGGAUUGUGUUUUUCAUUGUGAGAUGGCAGGAGCCUUUGGGGAGGAGAGGUAGAAAGUUGUGCUUUAACAGGCUGCAUUUUGGUAUUAGGUUGAUGACGGGUGAAGUGAUUGUGUGAGAAUCUGGAAUCAUCCGAGAGAUGAGCAUACAGUCAUGCCUGUAAGAGAGGGUUUUGAUGAAGUCAAUAUGGUUUGGGAGAUGGCACCAUUGUGAAUGGCAUCUCUUGGGAUGGAAUCCUGAACCAUAUUAAAAGGAGAACACAUUCAUCCCUCUCUUCCUCUUGUCUGCAGAGGCAAUGCUGGACAUAAGCAUGUAUCCCUC